rnacentral:rRNA from 1 species
AUGAUCCAUCUUUACUACUUUGUUUUCCUUCAAUCUUUCGGCUUCGUUGUCAUGUGUAAAGCGGAUCUGGAAAAUGUGAAGAACAUGAAUUGGUGCAAGUUUAUUGCCGACUUCCUCCAUGAUGCAUUCUCAAGCAAGAUGUACCAAAAGGGUUGUCGACUGCAUUUAAUGCUCAUGUAUGUCGACUGUCUUGAUCUGUCCACUGUGGAUUUCACUGGGGUAGGAGGCCUGCCACCUACGCACAAGUUUGUUGUUUCUGCGUGGACUAUCAACGCUGUCAAGGUUGUGCUUGCCGUAGACAGGGCAACUGAUACCAAAUAUGGAAAACUACAGCUGAUGGCCAAGCAUGCUAUAGACUACAGCGUGUUUGGGGGGGCUCAAAACUUUGGAAAGUGGAUGGACGUGCACCCAGCUCCGUCUUGCCCUACUGAGGCAAGGGCACCUAUUGAGCAUCUAAUUGGGCAGUUUGCAUCCGGAAUGACCGGCUUGCUCGGGAAGUUGGUUGAGGGGUGGACGUCUCUCAGUGGCUCUGACAGUGACGCGGUUGCGAGGCAGUUCACUUCAUUUGUUCCAGAACGUACACAUCGGCCAACCGGUUGCCGUGGCCGGUAUGACUACAACAGUUCACAAGAGCCCAGUGACACACAAGAUGAUCUAGAUGGAGACGCUGGCCUCAGCAAGGAUGACGAUGAUGACAUGGAGAACGUGCAACAGGACACCGAUGGUGAUGAACAUGCUGAAGUUCACACAGGUGGUAACAAGGACAAGGAUGCAACAGAUGUCCCCCCACCGGAGAAAGUCAAAGAACAUACGGCUGCGAGAGGCGAGGGGGUGUUGCCAUCAAGGAGGGGAGGGCUCCAGGAGAUGUUGGGCAGGGUUCUCAUGGCAAGAGGUCUAGGACCGAUCCCGUAG